GGUGCUUGCAUCUUGAUUUAAUUUUGAACGAGUGGCGGACGGGUGAGUAACACGUGGGUAACCUGCCCUUAAGUGGGGGAUAACAUUUGGAAACAGAUGCUAAUACCGCAUAAAUCCAAGAACCGCAUGGUUCUUGGCUGAAAGAUGGCGUAAGCUAUCGCUUUUGGAUGGACCCGCGGCGUAUUAGCUAGUUGGUGAGGUAACGGCUCACCAAGGCAAUGAUACGUAGCCGAACUGAGAGGUUGAUCGGCCACAUUGGGACUGAGACACGGCCCAAACUCCUACGGGAGGCAGCAGUAGGGAAUCUUCCACAAUGGACGCAAGUCUGAUGGAGCAACGCCGCGUGAGUGAAGAAGGCUUUCGGGUCGUAAAACUCUGUUGUUGGAGAAGAAUGGUCGGCAGAGUAACUGUUGUCGGCGUGACGGUAUCCAACCAGAAAGCCACGGCUAACUACGUGCCAGCAGCCGCGGUAAUACGUAGGUGGCAAGCGUUAUCCGGAUUUAUUGGGCGUAAAGCGAGCGCAGGCGGUUUUUUAAGUCUGAUGUGAAAGCCCUCGGCUUAACCGAGGAAGUGCAUCGGAAACUGGGAAACUUGAGUGCAGAAGAGGACAGUGGAACUCCAUGUGUAGCGGUGAAAUGCGUAGAUAUAUGGAAGAACACCAGUGGCGAAGGCGGCUGUCUGGUCUGUAACUGACGCUGAGGCUCGAAAGCAUGGGUAGCGAACAGGAUUAGAUACCCUGGUAGUCCAUGCCGUAAACGAUGAAUGCUAGGUGUUGGAGGGUUUCCGCCCUUCAGUGCCGCAGCUAACGCAUUAAGCAUUCCGCCUGGGGAGUACGACCGCAAGGUUGAAACUCAAAGGAAUUGACGGGGGCCCGCACAAGCGGUGGAGCAUGUGGUUUAAUUCGAAGCAACGCGAAGAACCUUACCAGGUCUUGACAUCUUUUGAUCACCUGAGAGAUCAGGUUUCCCCUUCGGGGGCAAAAUGACAGGUGGUGCAUGGUUGUCGUCAGCUCGUGUCGUGAGAUGUUGGGUUAAGUCCCGCAACGAGCGCAACCCUUAUGACUAGUUGCCAGCAUUUAGUUGGGCACUCUAGUAAGACUGCCGGUGACAAACCGGAGGAAGGUGGGGAUGACGUCAAAUCAUCAUGCCCCUUAUGACCUGGGCUACACACGUGCUACAAUGGAUGGUACAACGAGUUGCGAGACCGCGAGGUCAAGCUAAUCUCUUAAAGCCAUUCUCAGUUCGGACUGUAGGCUGCAACUCGCCUACACGAAGUCGGAAUCGCUAGUAAUC
rnacentral:rRNA from 1 species